UAUGUGUAGUGCUAAUUGGGAGAUAAAGAAAAAAUAAGCACACCACCUGAUUUUAAGCACCUAAUUUAGGUUAGGAGGCUUAUCUUGUUAGGCUUUUGUAGGGGACUGGGGGAUAGCCAGAGUUGUGUUCCUAAGCCAUCGGAUGCUCUAAAUCACCCUCUGGCAAAGCCUGCUUCCUUCUUAUAAAGCAAGCUCAGGGAAACGAACCAUCCAGGUUGGGUGGGUAAUUCUGCUCAUGUGAGUACGCCCCCGGUGGGUUUAUUUGGAGGGGAAAGAGAAACACUCAGGAGGAUUAUAAACAACAGUAAUUGGCGACAAAAAGUCAGUCUCCACUUCAUGUUUGCUGAUUGUGUGCAAGUGUAUAGUCAGUUUUGCUGAUGCUUGUACAUAAGAGAGAUUCUGAAACACGAGUAAUUUGAUGCAUGCUCUUUGUCUUGCUACAGUAAUUACAAUCUUUCAUUGCCCAGGAGCUGAGCUGUAGCUCUUCUUCUGUUUUACAGUUUGUUAUGUUGCCUUAAUUGCACCAUCUAUCGUGACAUUUUUUGUGCUUUUUAUUUUUGCCUUUUACUGUGGAUGCUCUAAGCCAAGUAAGUGAUACUACAGCAUCUGGGAAACCUGUCAGGCUGCAUUCAGGUCAGCAGUUCAUCAGUGAGUGCAAUGAAAGAUAAUCUAUGAACGUCAAAGUUGUAGGACCUUGAAAAAAGGCAAUCAGCAGGAACAGCUUGGAAAUCUGCUGAACAGAAGGACCUAAAGAUUCCUACUGUCAUUUGUGGGGGAAACAUUUUUCCUCUGGUCCCAAACCCAGGCCGCUACCACAGAGCCGAAGCCUGCCGCGUUCAGGUACAGCCCUGCCGCUCGACACCCGAGCCCAGCAGUUCCCCCAGCGGCUCCUCUUCCUCUCGCCGUUCCGCCUGCAGCUCUCUCUCCACGGGCCACGCGUGACCUCGGGGCCCUGCCGGUGUUUCAUUUGUCGCGCCGGCUGCGUGGCGGGGCGGGCGGAGCCGGUCCCGCGGCCGUGGGUGCCGGGACACGCGUGGGCGGGGCGGGGCGGGAGCGGCCGCGGCGCUGUCCGCCGUGCUGACCGCCAGCGGGGAGGGUCCCGCUGCUCCGCAAAUGGCGGGGGGAAAGGCGGAGGGGUGUGCUGGCUGCCCCUCCUGCCGCUGCUGGGGCUGGCUCCCCCGGGUGGGUGGGAAUCGGGGGGUUUUCGGUUGGCUUCCUGCUUGGUCUUAAAAGGGUUGGCUGCUCUAUAGUCUUUCUGCCCGUAAUCUCUGGGUCGUUUCUCUAGUCGCGUGGCUUCGUGGCGCACUGGAGCCCAGAGAUUUGCACCAUGGCAGAUAACUCUGAGUAUCUCCAGCCAGGGCUACCUUUCCUAUUGCCUUGCAGAAAGCUACUGUUACUGAAAUAACUGUGCACUAAGCUGAGCCGAGUGGGGGGGAGUUCUUGGGAGGAUCAUUCUUCUGAAGGUGGCUGUGCUACACCAAAGCAGGGAGCAACUCUGCUCGUACCAUCCCAGCACAUCAACUGACAGAGCUGCAAAACCUGAAUCCUUAAAAUCCUGACUGAACUGAUAUAGCUGAGCUUCUGUGUGCUUUUGAUUACAAUACUUGAUUGCCUAGAACUGCUUACGGUAGCUAAAAAUAUCUGAUAUAUUCAAACUAUCAACGACACAUCCAGCAGAGAAUACUGGAUGCCACCCACUGGCUCAAAACGUUUUUUCACCAUGUGCCUGACUUGCUACAGGAGCCAGAAGGCAGGAAGAGAGACAGUCAGGGGUGACAUUGAAAGAAAUUACUUAUCUAACUUGUUGGAUCAGUUUGUGGUUCAGAGUUUUGUAGUACUAAAAGCUCUUUGUGAAGUGUGACUAUUUAAAUUGGUGCAAUCUCUCUGAUGGUGUUGGAGAGCUGCUUCAAGUCCAGCAUUUCCUAGGAAAGCUGAUAGCAAAAGACAUUUCUAUAGGUUUUAUUACAUACUGUGGUUUGGUCUACAGCAACCUUUGGGUCCAUGAGAAGAUCAUACUGGGCUCAGCUGUACCAUCCUCUGGGUGACUAACAUUUAAAGCUUUAACAGUUUUAGAGUAAAGAUAGAUUUAUUUUUCACUUUGUUGACAUGUUCAUGGGUUCCUUCUGACAGAGUAUGUAUGCCAGUCAGGCUCAAGGAAGAAGAAAUCUCAGGACCCACCAUCACCUUGAUUCCCUAGGCCAAAUGAGCAUCCAAGGAAGGAGUAUUUGAGAGGAGAAGAUCCUAAAUCUCUACACUCAUGAUUUCUGACAUUGUAACCUCUGUCAAGCACCCUUUUUGGCAGUUUUCUGAAAAGCCCUUGUUAGCAGUCUAGGACGCUUUUUUCUCCUGCUUCUACCUUUAUCUUGCAUUUGGCCCUGUUUCUGUUUAUUUCAGGGAAUGACAGAAUGCCUUUUAUUCAGAGUGGCAAACCUUGGUUGUAAGAUUCACAAAGUUCCUUUGCAGCACUUGGUGUACAAGAGCUUUACUUCUGUAUGUGUUGCUCCUUUCACUUGCAGGAAGGAUGUGAAGGUUCAUCUACAACAAUCUUGCUUUUAGCAUAAGGGCUUGUCCACAGGAUUAUUGUUAGCAUGGGACAUUUUUACGUUAUAUAUUAGAAUUCAUAUGAUUCUAGAAAUCUCUGCUUCAUUCCUCCCAUGUGCUCAAAUAAUGGCUGUACAAAGGAGACUACUCGUCUUGCCUGUGCCAAGCAAGAACUCAUUUCUGCAGUUGAUGUACCAUCACCCAGCCUUUGCCUGCAGGAUUAUAUUCUCUGCAUAGGAAGAGUCAACUGUAGAGAAAAAGCUUCAAGAGUGGAGUACAACCAUUUAUAAACCUUCUGCAACAAAACACAAAAAGUGUUUCCCAUUACAUGCCAGAAGUUGUGCCUUGGGAUUUCUAUCAUGUGUCAUUUUUCAUCCCAUGAUCUUCAAGAAUGAUGUACGUGUAACUUUUAAUUUUUUUUAAUAGUGAGCAUGUUAGGAAGAUCAGGUCAGGCAGAGCUCAGCUAGCUAUCAGGAUGAUUUUCAUUGUGUAUGUCACCAAUUUGUCAUUCCCAGAAGGCUAAAUUUUUGGUUAGGUUUCAUUGCAUGAGGUGACAGGCUGUCGUGGUUUAACCCCAGGCAGCAACUAAGCACCAUGCAGCUGCUCACUCACUCCCCCCCCACCCAGUGGGAUGGGGGAAAGAAUCGGAACGAAAAAGGUAAAACUCACGGGUUGAGAUAAGAACAGUUUAGUAGAACAGAAAAGAAGAAACUAAUCAUGAUAAUAAUAACAAUAAUGAAAUGAAAAUACUAAUAAAAAGAUUGGAAUAUACAAAACAAGUGACGCACAAUGCAAUUGCUCACCACUCGCCAACUGAUGCCUAGUUAGUUCCUGAGCAGUGAUCCCCUCCAGGCCAGCUCCCCCCGGUUUAUAUACUGGGCAUGACAUCACAUGGUCUGGAACACCCCUUUGGCCAGUUUGGGUCAGCUGUCCUGGCCGUGUCCCCUCCCAACUUCUUGUGACCCUCCAGCCUUCUUGCUGGCUGGGCAUGAGAAGCUGAAAAAUCCUUGACUUUAGACUAAACAUUACUUAGCAACAACUGAAAACAUCAGUGUGUUAUCAACAUUCUUCUCAUACUGAAUCCAAAACAUAACACUAUACCAGCUACUAGAAAGAAAAUUAACUCUAUCCCAGCUGAAACCAGGACACAGGCGUAGGCUUAGCUGCCCUCCUCUUUGCAGUAUUUGAAGUUUAAUUGAUGCUAGUUGCAGAAAGAUACCAGAUACCUUCAGACAACAAAAUGUUUAAAUCCAGGUAAGAAAUUAUUCUGUCAGGCCAGCAUGUUCUGCCAAGUGGAAGAGAGCUUCAUUAAAGCAAGCAAUGUCUGUUAUGUCCCUGUUACAAAAUACUAGUUUUCUGAACUGAGCAUUCAUAUGGAGAUUUUAGAGAGAGACGUGGAGCACCCCCGGUUGUUCUGUGCACUACCUCAACGUAUUCACCUCCUAGUUUCCCUGGUCUCUGGUGUGACUAGGCCCCAGGGAAACAUAGGCACUUUUUCUUCUCUGUAAAGCAGGAAAUUGCUGGGUUUGCAUUGGCAAAGGAAUGAGAGUUUGAUGGAGCCCUCUCUAUGCUCCACUGUGAUAUAAGGCUAUGCAGUCAAUUUACCAAUGGCUUCUGCUGCCCAACAGGUUCCCCACCCUAAGACUGUGUGGCAAAUGUUCUAUUUUAGGAGCACACAUCUAGGUAAUAUGUCUCUGUGAUUAAAGAGGCAACGGAUUACCUCUGGCAGCGUGUGUUUCAUCCUAAUGAACAAGGGCAAGGCCCUGACCUACCUAAUCUAGUUGGCCCUGCUUUGAGUGGGACGUUGGACUAGAUGACCUGCAAAGGUCCCUUUCAGUCUAAAUUAUUCCAUGAUUCUAAUGCAGCUGCCUGAGCAUAUAGCCAGAGUCAAGGAUGCUUUAUACAGCUGGUGCUGGAGCCACUGCUGCUGCAGGUGCUCUUGGGCAGAGGUUUGUCUCCAAGUGCUGCCUUCAUUUCUCCUGAUGAGCGUGGAGGCACUCGGAGAUACUGUUUCUGGGACUGUGCCGUUGUGUGGCCGACUGUGCAGUGCAAACACAUGGCAGUCCUGACACGCCUCUGCCUCCCACGCUCGGUUCUCUGCCUGCCACCGUGGAUGUGGCUGGAUGACUACCUUUCUGCAGUACUUGCACUGAAGAAGAAUCCCUGCAGCUAGACAGAGCCCCUUUGGGCAGCUCUGGUGCUUUGUGAAAGGCUCAGGAAUCUCCAGAUCUGAAAACCUAAGGCCACGUGCCACCCCACCUGGUGAUCCAUUGCUCUUCACUGUGAGUGGGUCAUUCUCUGUGUUUCUCACAGGGUUGCUGGUUGCACAAGCCAGCACCAAUUUAUUCUGUGGGCAGUCCUGCAUCUUUACUGGAAUGCAGAUUUCACUAUGCCCCUUUCCACUGCUUCCAAACAAGAUAAAUCAUGCAAGACUUUAACCUUUAUUUUCUACAAGUUGUCUUUUUCAGCGCUGUGUGCCAUGAAAGCUCCCCAUAAACAGGCGGGAACUGAGAACAGGAGUUCCUUUGAGUUAUACAUAAACCAAGUUUGAGCCCAGAUAGUGACAUUUAUAGAGGCAGGUGGCUUGUUGAAUAGUAUGCUCAACUGCCAGCCGUGAUACUAAAUGUCAGCCCAGGAAUGCUAUAAAUCCUAUCUAAAAAGUGCUCAGAUUGUUUUAUUUGUUUUAUGUUUCAACAUGCUAGCCCAAAGCUCCACACAUAAGAAAAGAAUAAACAGUGUGGGUGGCAUAAUUGUUACUUUUUUAUAUCCCAGACAUACGCUUUUAGCAAUCGGGACCUCAUAAAUUUUCCCUCAGUGCUUGUCAGCGUUGCUUUGGUUUCCAACCGGGGGCUUUGAACUCCGCUGGCCCUUCUCCAGAGCUAUGAUCUUGCCUGUACCGAUGUCUGCAGUUUUGGGGGUCUAAUAAAAAUGCUUCUGAGAAAAAAGCAUAGCUUCUAUCAGUGAAAGACAGAACUUGACAGGUAGGACUAAGACUUGUUCCCAUUUUAAAUGGACCUUCCUUUACUAAUCACCCUCUCCCUGGUACUCCCAUCCCCACCGCUGUGGCUGUGGUUAUCCUACAGUUCGGUCCUUUUAGGUUUAGCCUUUUGCAGCCUGUGCUGCUCCUGUACUCGUUUCCUCUACAAGUUUCCCACCUGAUUGGCAUUUGAAAAUCCUGCUCACCUCCUCAACAGGAUCUGUGUGAACAGUGUCACUAGAUUUCGAGACUGUUUGCUUCAGCUGCCCGUUCUGACCUGUGGAUGAGGCUCUGCGAAGCCUGUGACCGUAGCUGAUGGAGACAGGCUGCUGCAGGGCUUGCAGUGUGCAGGAGUUCUUCUCAGGGAAAAAGGCCCUUGUCGCUGUUCUCACAACAGGACCCCGAGCACAACGCUGCUCAGAAUUCACCUGAGGAGCCGGAACAGCAGCAUCCCACCUCUCCCUGCUGGCGUGAGCUGAUUUAACGCUUCAGACCGGGAUGCGAGUGCCAACCCGUGAGCAUCUCCUGCCCGUGUGGGCUCUGCUGCGAGUAGCAGAGACAAAUGUGGUGACAGACUUAUCAGAAACACUGACCGAAAUGAAGCUGUUGAUCCAAACAUCCUCAUCAUCCUUUAUCCUAAAGCCAAAGCAAAAAUGAGACGUCCCAGUGGGUGUGGGCCAUGUUUCUUUAUAGGUGGUCAGGACUUCUAGCAAUAGACAACAUCUUGAAUUCAGUCUAUGGCAGUGACUGCUGCAUGACAAGGUAAUGUUCCCCUUUGUGGACUGAAAGGAGAAGACUAUGUGCCUGUAUUUCAGCAGGUCUUGGUGUGAAGAACAGGAGGUCUUCCUCCGUGGUGACUGGAGCAUUACUUUGUCACCUUCAGAUGUUUGCUUGAGGGAAGAAAGGAAAGAUCAGAUCUAUCUUGGAUCUAUCUUGGAGAAAUGAGAAUGGAUUUUCUUCCCAUAAAAGAAACUUGACAAAUCAGUGUUAACUACACUUCGUGCAUAACAUUUCGAUAAGCGCGUAAGAAAAGAGAUGAGAAAGUAAAUAGGGUUUGUCUCCAUCGCAAACUCCAGGUUUCCAUGCCAGAUGAAAGCCAACGGUCAGUGUUAGUGGUCUUUUAAGGAGAGUGAGGGCAAAAGGAAUCCUGAAUGGGUCAGGACUGCCACCUCUUCCCACGCUUUUUGGUGUCGUCAAGCAUGGCCGGUUAUGAAAGUGGAUGGGAAAUCAGAUGCGAUGUUAUUUAUCCCAUACAGUAUGUCUGUUGUACUAUGUGAUGUUAUACGGCUGUGUAUGUCACUAAGACAUUGACACCAAAUCCCUUGAUUAGAAAAUGGUAUUUUGUCACCGCUUCAUAAUUUACCGUUUUAGAACUCUGCAU